rnacentral:misc_RNA from 1 species
AAGUCGUAACAAGGUUUCCGUAGGUGAACCUGCGGAAGGAUCAUUAUUGAAUAAACUUGGUUUAGGCUGCUGCUAUCUCUUUGGAGAAUGUGCACGCUUAUUCCGAUUUUAUAAACCCACCUGUGCACUUUUUGUAGAUCUGAAAAUACUUUUCAAGAUGGUAAACAUCUUGGUUAUAGGAAUUGCUGUGGUGUUUUUAUGCCCAGCUUUUCCUUGUAUUUUUUCAGAUCUAUGUUUUAAAUCUAUACUCCAAUUUAAAAGUAUUAGAAUGGUUAUAAACAAAAUUAAUACAACUUUCAACAACGGAUCUCUUGGCUCUU